rnacentral:lncRNA from 1 species
GAAUCGACUAGUUGUCGUGUGCGUAGGCUUCGGAAAGUCCGAAGGUGGUUAUAAUGCAUAAAGUGCAUUAAGGAAGGGUCCGCGGGAGCACCAGUGCAAAACUUGCACUGGAGCAGAAAUGCUCUCGGGGACCGGUCCCUGGCAGGGAGGGACCGGUCCCAUCAGGCUGGGUUGCGAAGGUCUCUGAUGAGACCGGUCCCUGAUGGGCAGGGACCGGUUCCCGAACGCUGGCCUGGCGAGACUUAGCCAAAUUUGGCUAAGUCCCGAGAAUGCAGCUCUCGGGAACCGGUCUCUCGGACAAGGACCGGUCUCCCGGGGACCGGUCUCUCAGGCAAGGACCGGUUCCCGAACGCGAAAAUCCCUCUGCUCGAAAUGGCAGCCUUCGGGGACCGGUCCCAAGUCGGGGAGACCGGUCUCUCCGCGCGAAAACUGCCCAGUGAGGGCAGUGCACAAGGGUGAAAGUUGAGGGGCUUUUAUGCAAAAUGGCCUUUAUUAGAGGUGGGGGACCCCUCUCACUCUCUCUCAGCUGCUCUCUCUCUCUCUUUCUCUCACUCUUUCCCUUUCUCUCUCUAGGAAAGAAAAGAAAAGAAAGAGAAGAAGGAGAAGAAGAAGAGGAAGGAGAAGAAGAAGAGAAAGAAGAAGAAAGAGAAAGAGAAGACUAAGAAGAAGAAGAAGAAGAAGAUAUCUUCUUCUCUCCCUCUCCCUCAAGCUUGAAGGAACCUUGUGUAGGGGUAAGCUCUAAACCCUUUAAUGGUGUUUCUAGGGUUUUGGGGUUUUUAUGGUUUGAAUGGGACCUAAUGGAACUAGGGAGAAGGUUCGAGCUCGCAAUUGAAGCUCGCACCACGGAUUUCUUCCCCGUUGCCAUCCUAGGGCACGGAAUUGGGUUUUUGGUAAAUCUAGGGUUUUGAUCUAAUCUAAUAGGUCGCAAACCUAAUUGCUAGGUCCCGGAACGCGUCGGCGAAGUCGGUUUCUCGAUCCGACGAGCGGGUGCGGAGAAAUCGCCGAAUCGGGUACUCGAGGGCUCGCUUCGCCCCGAGGAGUUGAAGCGGCGUACAAGAACCCCAACGUCGAGUUUUCUACUAUCACGGCAUCGCCAAGAGGUGGGUGGUGUCCAUCCCGAAGCAAUCGGGCUCCCUCCUAUGUCUUAGUAUAUUUGAUCUUGCAUCUUGUAUUAUUGCAUUAUAGGAUUAGUAUGCAUUGCCUUUCCUUAUGUUUUUCCUUCAUGGUAUCGUAGCGUACAUCGGAUAAUUGAUAUAUUGGAUUGAUAAGGAUUGGGUCGAGAUUGUGAAUCCUAUGAUGUAGAGAAAAUGAUGAACUAUGAACGAGUGGCAUCUAGUUAAUAGUAAACUAUGAACGAGUGGCAUCUAGUCGAUAGCGGACAAACGGACAAUCUAGUUAAUAGUGUAUGCGACACCUAUGGACUAUAUGAUGAUUGUGACUCUAGAGGACAGGGUAUCCUCGAGCUUAGAGGAUUGGAUCAUGCUCACGGUCUGUUAAAUCUUGUGAUGGAAGCCCCACACAAGUAGUGCGCUCCGGAUGUUGGUCACGCCAGGGAUUGCCUAUAUGGCCCCGCCAGACGGUCUCGGGUCCGUAGUGUGAGUUGAUUCUCCCUACGUGUCGAGAUGGCUAGUGAGCUGUAGGCGAGCCUUCGGGUAAGCCAUGAGAUUAAUGAACAAGUAAAUGAGGUUAAUGAACGAGUGAAUAGCUUCACCCUUGGACAUGAUAACAGAUUAGUUGCUUACCUAUUUCAUUGGACAUGCAUUCAUAUACUUAUGAUUGGGCAUGGUAGCGUAGCUUCAUUUCCGCCAUUUACAGCUUUCCUUAUCUAUCUACCUAUCUAUCGAUUGUCUACUUAUGCCCGCUUGGACCUAGUGGGGAGAUCGGCGGAGUCGGCGGCCGAACCCACUGGGAACUAAGGAAGUUAGUUCUCACCCCCAUUUUACCACAGGUUCCAGUUCGGGCGUCCCCGGUGAGCGUGAGGAUCGCGGUAAGGGCCCGGCGUUCUAGUCGCAUUAGCUACCUCCUUUUCUUGCAUUAGCCGUCACCCCUUUUGUAUUUGAGAGUAGAUGUUGUAUAGGGUGAGGGUUGAGUGCUUGUAUUUAUAUUUUGGAAGAAUGUAAAAGAUGUAUCUAAAUGUAGUAAAUCAAAUGAAUGUAAUAGAUAGUCUCUUCUCUCUUAUGUACUUGUAUAUGUUUCUAUACUUGUAUCUUGCUCUUGUUUAUAGCACUAGUGGUGCUUAUUGAUCGUGUAUUUAUGAAUUGAUUCCUGGGUAAAUUCUUAUGCACGAUCUGUUGGUUAGCCUUGGACGGACAGGGGAGGUCCUGUCCGUUCGGCGUCUGUUCGACGCGCCCGGGCCGGACCAAAUUGGUAGCGGUCGCGGGGCGUGACAGUUAAAGUGGUAUCAGAGCACCAGAGCAAGUAAAGAGAGAGUCUAGGAUGACCUAGGAGACCCUAGGUUGGUAAACCCUAAGGUUAUAGGGACGUGAGUGAACGUGAACCCAUGGCGGUGGCGGGAGUUGAUUGAUUGGGUCAAGUUGAUGUUGUGUCUCUAGCUGUGAAUAGAGACGGAUCCAAGUGACACUAGUUCUUGGCUUGUAGUGGUUGUGUCGGCGGCCGACGACGCGACGCUAAGAGUCCAGAACUGGAGCACUUGAGAGCUUCCGCCCGAUUUUACUGUCGAGUCGUUUAAUUUCGCGAACGUUGCGAAGUUAUCGGAUUGAGAUAACUAACCGAGUUGUUGCUUUUCAGGAGCAAAUGUCCCCAAGGCGUUAUGCGCGUAGGUCUGCUCCGGUACCGCCUUCUGCGGAGCCCGAGCAGCCAAGAUCGGAGGAGGUGCAGGAGCUGCGGGAGCAGGUCGCUGCAAUGUUGGGCGCGAUGCAGCGCCAGGAGGCUCGGUUCGAGCAGCUCCAGGAAGUUGUGGAGCGGCAAGCGGCAGCGGCGGCGGCCGCGACGGCGGCAGGAGAUCGCGAUCCGCCCGCACCUUCGGCACGCACGCCGGUAGCGGCCGAGGGUGAGGGCAUAGCGGCGGUUCCGAUGGCGGCGGUUCCCCCGCCGACAAGUGCGCCUCCGACAGCUUCGGGUUCGGCGACGCUUGAUACGACGGCCGAUGAAGUGGAGCGGGAGCGUGCGCUAACGGCUUUAAUGAGGUUUAUGAAGUUUAAGCCACCAACUUUUGAAGGGGGGAAAGUGGAGCCGUCGGUGGUGGAGUCUUGGGUAGACUCUAUGGAGACUCUCUUCGAGGACCUAUACACCUCGGAGAAAGAUAAGGUGCCUUUCGCCACCCAUUGCCUCGACAAGGCGGCGAAGGUGUGGUGGAAGCGGUUGAAGCGGGAUCGACCCUCUGAUCUUCCGCCAAUGCUCUGGGAGGAGUUCAAGAAGGAGAUGUUCGGAAACUACUUCCCCGACACCGAGAAGCGGAAGUUGAAGGAGAGGUUUCGCAAGUUGAGGCAGGGAGAUCGCUCGGUGGCGGACUACGAGCAGGAGUUCUCCCACAUUAUAGACUGCGUCCCGGACGUGGUCAAGGACGACGCGGAUCGAGCCGAGUGGUUCUUGCGAGGACUUCGGCCAUGGAUAUAUAGAGCGGUGCAGCUAUUCCAGCUCACAACUUUCGCCGAGGUCUUCAACAAGGCGCUGUGGGCAGAGCAUGGAGAUGCCCAUGUGCGGGAGGAGCGUGAGUUGUUGGCCGGAUCCCAAGACAAGGGGAAGAAGCGAUCGGGCGGCGGUUCGGGUGGACAGUCGAGUUCGAGGAGGCCCCCGAAGCAUCCGCGGUCGCAGUCGUGGGGCCGUGGGCCGCGGCGUUGCCCUAUUUGUGGAGAUCGAGGCCAUCGGGCACCGCAGUGUAGUCAACGACAAGGACGGUGCUUUAACUGCGGACAAGAAGGACAUAUUAGCCGUGACUGUCCGGCAAGGGCCUCGUCUACUCCGUCGGUCGCAUCGGCUCCAGCGCCCCCGCCUUAUCAGGGAGGGGCCCCCUAUGUUCCCGUGUCAGCAGGACGCGCAUUGGCGCCGCGCCAGCCGGAGGUGACUCGAUCAGCGCCGAGCGGACGGGUAUUCGCCGCUCAGGCCCAAGCCGAGGAGCCUGCCCUAGCCGAGGAGCCUGAUGUUGUGGCAGGUAUGGUUCUAAUCAAUGGAGUUCGCUCCAGAGCUAUGUUCGAUACGGGUGCCACGCAUUCAUUUAUUAGUAGAGCAUUUGCACGCAUGCAUGACAUACCCAUAGAAGCAAGUGGCAAGUGGCGAGUCGAGGGUCCCGAGUUAUCAUUUAACACCUAUACGGAGUGCUCGUCGUGUCCGGUGCAAGUGGGUGAUUGGAUAAUGCCCAUUCGGAUGUUGGAACUCACUAAACUGGAGGCGUACGACGUUAUUUUAGGUAUGGAUUGGCUCUCGAAGUAUUACGCCACGAUCGAUUGUAAGAAUAAAUUGAUCACUUUUCGGGAGCCCGGACAGAAGGAGUUCGUUUAUCGAGCUUGUCGGAGUUCUUGCUUCGUCGCGACAGUAUCGGCGACGAGAGCUAGGAAGUUGGUCAGCGGCGGUUGCGCGGCAUUUUUGGCGACCGUCGUGGAGGUGGACCGGGUGGUGCCGAAAUUAGAAGAUUUAUCGGUGGUGCGGGAAUUUCCGGAUGUGUUUCCCACGGAGUUAUCGGGGAUGCCGCCGGAUCGGGAGAUCGAGUUCGUUAUAGACUUGAUUCCCGGGACGGCGCCGAUCUCAAAGGCCCCAUACCGCAUGGCGCCGGCAGAGUUAAGAGAAUUGAGGGAUCAGUUACAAGAUCUUCUCGACAAAGGGUUUAUCAGGCCGAGCGUAUCGCCGUGGGGAGCGCCGGUGUUGUUCGUGCGCAAGAAGGAUGGCUCGUUUCGACUCUGCGUGGAUUAUCGAGAGUUGAAUAAGGUCACAAUAAAGAAUAAGUACCCGUUGCCCCGAAUCGACGACUUAUUUGAUCAAUUACAGGGGUCACGAGUGUACUCGAAGAUAGACCUACAAUCCGGCUACCAUCAGUUAAAGAUCAAGCCGGAGGAUAUUCAGAAGACCGCGUUUCGUACGCGUUAUGGACACUAUGAAUACACGGUUAUGCCUUUCGGGCUCACUAAUGCCCCGGCUGCAUUCAUGGACCUGAUGAACCGUGUGUUCAAGGCGUGCUUGGACCGAUUUGUCGUGGUCUUCAUAGACGACAUCUUGGUCUAUUCGCGGAACGACGAGGAGCACGCGGAGCAUUUGCGGACGGUGCUUCAAAUCCUUCGGGAGGAGAAGCUAUUCGCAAAGCUAAAGAAAUGUGAUUUCUGGCUUCGAGAGGUUGCCUUCUUGGGGCAUGUAAUUUCCGAGGGCGGUGUUUCGGUUGACCCGAGGAAAGUCGAAGCGGUCGAGAAUUGGCCACGCCCGACGAACGUCACGGAGGUCCGAAGCUUUGUGGGCUUAGCGGGCUAUUAUCGACGGUUUGUGGAGGGCUUUUCGAAGAUUGUAACUCCACUUACCGGUUUGACUCAGAAGGGCGUCAAGUUUAUUUGGAGCGACGAAUGUGACCAAAGCUUCAACGAGUUGAAGAAAAGAUUGACGUCGGCUCCAAUACUCGCCUUACCGGUGCAGGGCGAGGACUUUGUGGUUUAUAGCGACGCAUCCUAUCUGGGCUUGGGGUGUGUCCUGAUGCAAGGCGGGAGGGUGAUAGCUUAUGCAUCCCGUCAGCUGAAGGACCACGAGAAGAAUUACCCCAUCCAUGACUUGGAGUUGGCGGCGGUGAUCUUUGCGCUGAAGUUGUGGAGGCACUACCUAUACGGUGCACACUGCGAGAUCUACACCGACCACAAAAGUCUGAAGUACCUGUUUACCCAGAAGGAGCUAAACAUGCGACAGAGGCGGUGGCUAGAGCUAUUAAAGGACUAUGAUGUCGAUAUUCUCUACCACCCCGGCAAAGCAAAUGUGGUCGCAGACGCACUUAGCAGAAAGUCGGCGAAGAACCUCGCUUUUGAUGUUACCCGGCAAACACCCCUAGGGCUGGAAAUGGAGCGGCUGGACCUUGAAGUGGUCGCUCCCGAGGUCCCGGCCCAGCUGAUGGCGCUCGUUAUUCAACCGACCUUAUUGGAGAGGAUCAGAAAUUUGCAACCUGCAGAUCCGAGUCUCCAAAAGGUGCGGCGCAACAUCGAGGAAGGACGAGAUGGCGAUUUCAGUGUGGACGCCGGUGGCGCGCUCCGGUUUCGAAACCGGUGGUGCGUGCCCGAGAAUGAAGAGCUUCGCGAGUUGAUUCUACAAGAAGCUCACCGAUCUCCAUACGCGGAUCACCCGGGCGGCACCAAGAUGUAUCAUGAGUUAAGAGCACUCUAUUGGUGGCCGGGGAUGAAGGCUGAUAUUGGGCGCUUCGUGGCGAAGUGCUUGACUUGUCAGCAAGUAAAGGCGGAGCGCCGGUUUCCAGCGGGGAAGCUUCAAAGCUUACCUAUUCCCGUCUGGAAAUGGGAAGAUAUAUCUAUGGAUUUCGUCGUUGGCUUACCUCGCUCGACAGGGGGACACGACGCAAUCUGGGUGAUCGUGGACCGCUUGACGAAGUCAGCCCACUUUUUGCCGAUCCACACCACCUGGGCGGGAGAUAAGUUGGCGCAGGUAUAUCUUGACGAGGUAGUGAGGUUACACGGGGUGCCGAAAUCGAUUGUGUCGGAUAGAGACCCCAAGUUUACUUCACAUUUCUGGAAAAGCCUGCAGGAGGCCCUUGGCACACGGCUCGAUUUCAGUACUGCAUUCCAUCCCCAGACAGACGGACAAACUGAAAGAACCAUUCAGACUCUGGAGGAUAUGUUGCGAGCGUGUGUCAUCGAUUACAAAGGAGGUUGGUGUAAGUAUUUGCCGAUGGCCGAGUUCGCCUACAACAACAGUUAUCACGCUAGUGUGGAGAUGGCACCGUUCGAAGCUCUUUAUGGGCGGAAGUGCCGCUCUCCCAUUUAUUGGAGUGACGUGGGCGAGCGCACGGAAUUUGGCCCCGAUGUGCUGCGGGAGGCGGAAGAAAAGGUCCGCCUUGCUCGCAAACGGUUACUCACGGCGCAAUCUCGACAACAGAGCUAUGCGGAUAGGCGCCGGCGAGAUCUAGAGUUUGCGGUGGGUGACCGCGUCUUCUUGAAGGUCUCGCCUAUGAGGGGUGUAAAGCGGUUUGGAGUUCGGGGAAAGUUGAGUCCCCGAUACAUUGGCCCCUAUGAGAUCUUGGAGCGGAUUGGGACGGUGGCUUAUCGGCUCGCGUUGCCGCCGAAGCUUGCGGAUGUGCACAACGUAUUCCACGUCUCCAAUCUUCGCAAAUACAUUCCCGAUCCCGAGCAUGUAAUGCUAUAUGAGCCGCCGGAACUUCAGGAGGAUCUGAGCUACGAGGAAUUCCCGGUGGCAAUUACCGCUCGUGAAGUGCGCAAGUUAAGGAGUCGAGAGAUUCCUUAUGUCCGAGUCCGGUGGAGCAAUCAUGAUGAUCGCGAAGCCACCUGGGAGCUCGAGGAGGAGAUGAAGGCGAAUCAUCCUCGCCUGUUUGAAGGCUAAAUUGAGGUAUGAAUUUAGAAUUUGAAAUUCUAAUCAAGUUUUGGAGUAUUGAGUUCGUUUCGAGGACGAAACUCUUUUAAGGUGGGAAGGAUGUAAGGAAGUGAAUUCUCGAAACUCGAGGAUUAGACUUCGACCAGAAUCGACUAUUCGUCGAGUGAGUAGGCUUCGGAAAGCCCGAAGGCGAUUAUAAUGCAUAAAGUGCAUUAAAGAAGGGUCCGCGGGAGCACCAGUGCAAAAUCUGCACUGGAGCAGAAAUGCUCUCGGGGACCGGUCCCUGGCAGGGAGGGACCGGUUCCAUCAGGCUGGGUUGCGGAGGUCUCUGAUGAGACCGGUCCCUGGUGGGCAGGGACCGGUUCCCGAACGUUGGCCCGACGAGAUUUAGCCAAAUUUGGCUAAGUCCCGAGAAUGCAGCUCUCGGGAACCGGUCUCUCG